rnacentral:tRNA from 3 species
GGUCCCAUCGUCUAGCGGUUCAGGACGCCGGCCUCUCACGCCGGUAACACGGGUUCGAAUCCCGUUGGGAUCACCA